UACGUAGGGGGCGAGCGUUAUCCGGAUUUACUGGGUGUAAAGGGAGUGUAGACGGCGUAUCAAGUCUGAUGUGAAAGGCAGGGGCUUAACCCCUGGACUGCAUUGGAAACUGGUAUGCUUGAGUGCCGGAGGGGUAAGCGGAAUUCCUAGUGUAGCGGUGAAAUGCGUAGAUAUUAGGAGGAACACCAGUGGCGAAGGCGGCUUACUGGACGGUAACUGACGUUGAGGCUCGAAAGCGUGGGGAGCAAACAGG
rnacentral:rRNA from 1 species